rnacentral:lncRNA from 1 species
AUCUAACAAGUCAGCUGCUUCCACUGCAAAGACCACCUUAUUAAACCUCAACUAACUAAGCUCUCAGUAGCCCAUAACCAACCAUUAUCCUGAGCUUCAAUAUUGAAACUUAUCCUCAAAAAAGAACUUUUAUUGUGCAAAAAGACAUUUCCAAACUCGUUCCUUAGUAUCCACAAGACCCCGUUUACCAGGGAUGAUGCAUUCCAAGACAAUUUAAUACUGCACUUGACCCAAGACUGAAGUGGAGGGAUUCUCUCAUCCUUGAAGUCAAAGGACUAGCACAUAGAAAACUAAUCAGCCUGCAUCUCAACCACUUGAGCCUAAUUCAACUCCAGCUGAUCAGCAAAGGCUUUCC